rnacentral:rRNA from 1 species
CGUUUCCUACGGGGCGCAGCAGUGAGGGAUAUUGGGCAAUGGGGGAAACCCUGACCCAGCGACGCCGCGUGAGGGAAGACGGUCUUCGGAUUGUAAACCUCUGUCUUUGGGGACGAAAAAGGACGGUACCCAAGGAGGAAGCUCCGGCUAACUACGUGCCAGCAGCCGCGGUAAUACGUAGGGAGCGAGCGUUGUCCGGAAUUACUGGGUGUAAAGGGAGCGUAGACGGUGAUGCAAGUCUGGAGUGAAAGGCGGGGGCCCAACCCCCGGACUGCUCUG